UGUUUAGUGUUUGUUAACCAAACUCUUUCGUAACUAUCUUCCUUUUUUGUUUACAGUUUUGUUCUAUACCUUAGUGUUCAAUAACACACCGGUAAAUUUAAUUUUAAAAUAUAAUUAAUAGCGAUUCUUUUCAACCUGUAUAGGGUUAGGCCUAACCAAAAUGUUUAACACUCUUAAAAAAAUUUGGCAAUUUUUAAACUAUUGGUAUUUUAGGUACUUGAUGGUUACAGAAUUGUAUAUGGUUGAACGGUGGGAAAGAGCUGUUGUUAAUACAACCAUUGUAAUACUGUGCCUUAUCCUCUCUUACAUUAACUAUGUGGUUUUGUCUUAUACUUCGUCACUUCAGUGGUUCCCUACCUUUUGGUCAUCAUCUACCAUUUCAUGAUCACAAGUAUCACUCCAGAAUUUCUGGGCCUUAAAGUGAGAAGCAUUUCUUCUGAGACAUUUUUAUGAUAUGAAUGUUUGAUUUUUUCAAAAUUUUAGGUAUCACUCCAGAAUUUCUGGGCCUUAAAGUGAGAAGCAUUUCUUCUGAGACAUUUUUAUGAUAUGAAUGUUUGAUUUUUUCAAAAUUUUAGGUAUCACUCCAGAAUUUCUGGGCCUUAAAGUGAGAAGCAUUUCUUCUGAGACAUUUUUAUGAUAUGAAUGUUUGAUUUUUUCA